AGUUUUACUCCAGUUUUUUCUGUUAGUGGCAACACGACUUGCACGGAACCUUUACCAAAACUGGUUUCGCCAAGCACAAUAGCUCGCCGAUGAUCUUGCAUGGCACCGGCAACAAUUUCUGAUGCAGAGGCAGAGCCGCGAUUGAUCAAUACAACCAGUGGCGCUCCCAUUAAUAGGUCACCGGGUUUUGCUUUAAAUUCGCUGUCAAAUUGUGGCAUUUUGCCUUUGGUCGAUACGAUGGUUUUGUUGUCACCUAACUUUUCGCUAUCAAGAAAUGUAUCGCUCACGUCUACCGCCGCAGGCAACAAACCACCGGGAUCAUUUCGUAA
rnacentral:ncRNA from 1 species